GGACACCCUGCCUCCGCAGGCUCUGCAUCCAACUCCUGUCUCCAUUUUGGCCAUGAGCACAUCAUGAAGAGCUUGCCAAAUCCAGAGCCACAAUGUCUACUGCAUUUUUGAUCCAAGACUUUUUAGUUUCCGAGCUCAGGAGCCAUCAGAGACCCACUAAAAUAUGGGCCACAAGUACCGUAAUUAACGCAGAGGGUGUCAGUUGAUGUAGCUGAUUUAAGAGAAGAUAACAGUUCCCAAAGCUGAGAGGAGAGAGUCUCUUGGGACGUAAUAGGCUCUCUAAAAGGUAAGGGAAAUGGCAGCUCCCAGGGAGACUAGAUCUUCCACCCUGGGGCUUCCAUUCUGCACAAAA
rnacentral:lncRNA from 1 species